UUCUAUAACAGGGAAACCAUAAGUUAGUCAUUUGUAUUUGCAAUCAUCAUAGAUUUUUACAUUAAAGAUAAGAAAUAAAAGUCCUGUUUUUGUAGGAGCUCGAACUCGAAAGCGUCCACAACCGGUCCAAAGAAACCCGUACAAAGCUGCUGCUCUAAUAUUGGGCUUACUGUGCCUCCUGUUGUUGGCAGGGAUUGGAGUCCAGCUCUAUCUAUUUAUUAGGUUAGAACCAGAUCCGCCAACAUGUGAAGUAAAUAACCAGAAUAGCACAGACUGGCAGGAGAUUCGUACGUCACGUCUUUUCUAUACAUCCACUGAGAAGAAAAACUGGACAGAAAGCAGGAAAGACUGUCAGAGGAGAGGAGGAGAUCUGGUGAUGAUAAACAGCAAAGAAAAACAGGAUAUUCUCAGAAGGAUGAAGUUACAUGGAGAUUCCUGGAUUGGUCUUCAAUCAGUAGACAUCACAGGGGGAUGGGGAGCGAAAGCAAAAUGGAAAUGGCAAUGGGUGGAUGGAUCAGAACUAGAAUAUAAGUGAGCAGGUUCAAAUUUUUUGUUGAUAUUUUGAUCAAAGUUAUGGUUAACUGAUACAUGCAGACAUAGGAAAAAAAAACUGAACAUGUCACCCUGCAAAUAUCAUUACAUACUGCAUCACUUCCUACUGUCUGAAACAGAAUGCAGCUAAGUCAUUGUAAAUGUAUAAUGGAGGCUCGAAUGUAAUUAAAUAUCAAA